rnacentral:rRNA from 1 species
UACGUAGGGUGCGGGCGUUGUCCGGCAUUACUGGGCGUAAAGAGCUCGUAGGUGGUUUGUCGCGUUGUUCGUGAAAACUCACAGCUCAACUGUGGGCGUGCGGGCGAUACGGGCAGACUGGAGUACUGCAGGGGAGACUGGAAUUCCUGGUGUAGCGGUGGAAUGCGCAGAUAUCAGGAGGAACACCGGUGGCGAAGGCGGGUCUCUGGGCAGUAACUGACGCUGAGGAGCGAAAGCGUGGGGAGCGAACAGG